rnacentral:rRNA from 1 species
GAUGAACGCUGGCGGCGUGCUUAACACAUGCAAGUCGAACGAAGCACCUCUCACGAUGCUUGACUCAGCUUGCCGUCGAUUGAUUCAUUUGAGGUGACUUAGUGGCGGACGGGUGAGUAACGCGUGUGUAACCUGCCUAAUAGAGGGGGACAACAGUUGGAAACGACUGCUAACACCGCAUAGUAAGAAGAAUUCGCAUGUUUUCUUCUUGAAAGAUUUAUCACUAUGAGAUGGACCAGCGACUGAUUAGCUAGGAGGAAUGGUAACGGCAUACCAGAGCGACGAUCAGUAGCCUGCUAGUGAGAGUCGACCGCCACAUUUGGGCUAGGCAACAGCCCGAACUCCUACGGGAGGGAGGAGUGGGGGAUAGUGCACAAUGGGGGAAGCGCUGAUGGAGCGACGCUGCUAGAGCGAAGAAGUAAUGCGGGAAGUAAAGCGCAAUCAACAAUGAAGAUAAUGACGGUACCUGACUAAAAAGCCCCGGCUAACUACGUG